rnacentral:misc_RNA from 1 species
AACCAUUCUCACCUGCGGCUAGACCUGCGGAAGGAUCAUUACAGAGUUGCAAAACUCCCUAAACCAUUGUGAACCUACCUUCUACCGUUGCUUCGGCGGGCGGGCCUAGCGCCCCCCCGGCCCCCCGCGGGCGCCCGCCGGAGGAUAACCAAACUCUUGACAUCAGUGGCCUCUCUGAGUAUUCUUUACUGAAUAAGUCAAAACUUUUAACAACGGAUCU